AUACGGAGGAUCCAAGCGUUAUCCGGAAUCAUUGGGUUUAAAGGGUCCGUAGGCGGGCAAUUAAGUCAGAGGCGAAAGUUUGCGGCUCAACCGUAAAAUUGCCUUUGAAACUGGUUGUCUUGAAUUAGUAUGAAGUGGUUAGAAUGAGUAGUGUAGCGGUGAAAUGCAUAGAUAUUACUCAGAAUACCGAUUGCGAAGGCAGAUCACUAAUACUAUAUUGACGCUGAGGGACGAAAGCGUGGGGAGCGAACAGGAUUAGAUACCCCGGUAGUCC
rnacentral:rRNA from 1 species